AUGGACAUGCUGGCAACUAGAACCACAUGGUUGGCCAUAGGUAUCCUUUUCAUAAUUGUAGUAGGCACCAAGAUUUUAAGAUGGAAAAGCAGUGUCCAUCCAUUGUCCACAAGACCACCUCCACCUAUCGUGAAUGUCCUUGGUCUCUUACCUUCACUCUUUAUCAAGGGUUUUGGGGUUACAAUCAAUGAUUUGUACACAAAGUUUGGCAGUGUAUUUACAGUAAGUUUGUUUGGACCAAAGAUAACCUUGUUGGUUGGACCAGAGGUCUCAACUCAUUUCUUCCAAGGGUUGGAGUCAGAUAUUGACGUUCGUAAAUUUAUGGAGGUCACCAUUCCCAUCUUUGGCCAAGAAGUUUUUUAUGGUGUAGAUACCGCAACUUGCAGUGAACAAUUAAACUUCAUCGUUGAUGCGCUAAAGCCUUCCAAGCUGCGGAGCCUCGUUGAUCCCAUGUCUCAAGAAGUAGAGGCCUACUUUGCAAAGUGGGGACAAGAUGGCAUAGUUGACCUUAAACAUGAACUCGAGCAGGUACUCAUGUUUAUCUCAAGUCGGUGCCUACUCGGAUAUGAGGUUCGAGACAUGAUGCUGGAAGAAGUAUACUCAUUAUUCCAUGACCUUGCAAAUGGCUUGAACUUUCUCAGUUUCUUGUUCCCAUAUACUACAACCCCGAGAAACCGCCGACGAGACAAGGCACACAUCAGGCUGAAAGAAAUUUUCACUGCAACCAUCAGGUCACGUAGAAGCUCCGGCCGAGUCGAGGACGAUGCACUGCAGAGGUUGAUGAAUUCCAAGUACAAAGAUGGUCGCUUUACAACCGAAGCAGAAAUUUCUGGCAUGAUCAUGGGCCUCGUCGUUGCCGGACACAUCUCAAGCACUAGCACUAGUACAUGGACUGGAGCUUGCAUGUUGAGCAACACCAAGUUCUUAAUAGCUGCCAUGGAGGAGCAAAAACAUAUCAUUAGCAAGUACAAGAACCAAAUAGGCUACGAAGCCUUGUCGGAGAUGGAUACCCUGCAUAGAUGCAUCAAGGAGGCAAUUAGAAUGCAUACAUCAGCACCAGUUUUAGUUCGCAAGGCACAUACAAAAUUCAGGGUGCAUACCAAGGAAGGCGAGGAAUAUGACAUACCUGGGGGGCAUAAUAUUCUAGUCCCUACUGCACUCAACAAUAAGCUAGCACACAUUUACAGUGACCCUCAUCUGUAUGACCCGGAUCGGUUUGGCCCUGGAAGAGAGGAGGACAAAGUUGGUGGCAAGUACUCUUUCACAACAUUUGGUGGUGGAAGGCAUGUUUGCCCUGGCAUGGCCUUGGCAUACCUACAAAUUAAGGUGAUAUGGAGCCAUUUGUUAAGAAAUUUUGAGCUCAAGCUAAUAUCUUCAUUCCCUAAGGCUGAUGGGAGCAAGAUGAACCAAGAGCCUAAAGGAAAAGUAAUGAUAAGUUAUAAGCGACAUCAACUUCUGUGA
rnacentral:rRNA from 1 species